UGCAGGCAUAUCGCGUCGAAACAUUGGUUCCCGUACGAUCACCGAAGGUAAGCAAAGUUGAGCCUGGUUACUACCUAGAGAGGUGAACGUUUGGGAAUACCAGGUGCAGC